UACGGAGGGUGCAAGCGUUAAUCGGAAUUACUGGGCGUAAAGCGUGCGCAGGCGGUUUGUUAAGUCUGCUGUGAAAUCCCCGAGCUCAACUUGGGAAUUGCAGUGGAUACUGGCAGGCUGGAGUAUGGUAGAGGAAGGUGGAAUUCCCGGUGUAGCAGUGAAAUGCGUAGAGAUCGGGAGGAACACCAGUGGCGAAGGCGGCUCACUGGCCCGGUACUGACGCUGAGGUGCGAAAGCGUGGGGAGCAAACAGG
rnacentral:rRNA from 1 species